rnacentral:rRNA from 1 species
AUUGAACGCUGGCGGCAUGCCUUACACAUGCAAGUCGAACGGUAACAGGUCUUCGGAUGCUGACGAGUGGCGAACGGGUGAGUAAUACAUCGGAACGUGCCUAGUAGUGGGGGAUAACUACUCGAAAGAGUGGCUAAUACCGCAUGAGAUCUACGGGUGAAAGCAGGGGAUCGCAAGACCUUGUGCUACUAGAGCGGCCGAUGGCAGAUUAGGCAGUUGGUGGGAUCAAAGCUUACCAAGCCGACGAUCUGUAGCUGGUCUGAGAGGACGAUCGGCCACACUGGGACUGAGACACGGCCCAGACUCCUACGGGAGGCAGCAGUGGGGAAUUUUGGACAAUGGGCGAAAGCCUGAUCCAGCAAUGCCGCGUGCAGGAUGAAGGCAUUCGGGUUGUAAACUGCUUUUGUACGGAACGAAAAGCCCCGGGUUAAUACCCUAGGGUCAUGACGGUACCGUAAGAAUAAGCACCGGCUAACUACGUGCCAGCCGCCGCCGUAA